rnacentral:rRNA from 1 species
AUUGAACACUGGCGGCAGGCCUAACACAUGCAAGUCGAGCGGGAACUUCGGUUCUAGCGGCGGACGGGUGAGUAAUGCGUAGGAAGCUACCCGACAGAGGGGGAUACCAGUUGGAAACGACUGUUAAUACCGCAUAAUGUCUACGGACCAAAGUGUGGGACCUUCGGGCCACAUGCUGUCGGAUGCGCCUACGUGGGAUUAGCUAGUUGGUGAGGUAAUGGCUCACCAAGGCGACGAUCCCUAGCUGGUUUGAGAGGAUGAUCAGCCACACUGGAACUGAGACACGGUCCAGACUCCUACGGGAGGCAGCAGUGGGGAAUAUUGGACAAUGGGCGCAAGCCUGAUCCAGCCAUGCCGCGUGUGUGAAGAAGGCCUUCGGGUUGUAAAGCACUUUCAGUAGGGAGGAAGGGGUUGUAGUUAAUAGCUGCAACUUUUGACGUUACCUACAGAAGAAGCACCGGCUAACUCUGUGCCAGCCGCCGCGGUAAAAC